rnacentral:rRNA from 1 species
CCUUUGUACACACCGCCCGUCGCUACUACCGAUUGAAUGGCUUAGUGAGGCCUUCGGACUGGCUCCAGAAAAUGGGAAACCAUUAUCAGGAGCUGGAAAGUUGGUCAAACUUGGUCAUUUAGAGG